rnacentral:rRNA from 1 species
CGGAGAGGGAGCAUGAGAAACGGCUACCACUUCUAAGGAAGGCAGCAGGCGCGCAAAUUACCCAAUCCUGACUCAGGGAGGUAGUGACAAGAAAUAACAAUAAACCGGCUUAUGCCGGGUUAAUUGGAAUGAGUACAAUUUAAACAUCUUAACGAGGAACAAUUGGAGGGCAAGUCUGGUGCCAGCAGCCGCGGUAAUUCCAGCUCCAAUAGCGUAUACUAAAGUUGUUGCAGUUAAAAAGCUCGUAGUUGGAUUCCUGCGGGGACGGAGCGGUCGGACGCAACUUGCGUCUCGAGCUAGCGCUUUCCCCGCAUCCUGCCGCGAACCGUGCUACCAUUAGGUUGGUGGCGCUGGGGAUCGGCUCGAUUACUUUGAGAAAAAUAGAGUGUUCAAAGCAGGCCACACGCCUUGAAUAAGUUAGCAUGGAAUAAUGACUAAGGACUUUGGUUCUUUUCGUUGGUGUUCGGGACUGAAGUAAUGAUUGAUAGGGACAGUUGGGGCGGGCCGUAUUCCAAAGCGAGAGGUGAAAUUCUUAGACCUUCGGAAGACGAACAGCUGCGAAAGCGUUCCGCAAGGAUGUUCCCUUUGAUCAAGAACGAAAGUUGGAGGAUCGAAGACGAUCAGAUACCGUCGUAGUCUCAACUAUAAACUAUACCAGCUAGAGAUCGGCCAACGUUUAAUUAUUCGACUUGGUCGGCACCUUAUGAGAAAUCAAAGCAUCUGGGUUCCGGGGGGAGUAUGGUCGCAAGGCUGAAACUUAAAGGAAUUGACGGAAGGGCACCACCAGGCGUGGAGCCUGUGCCUUAAUUUGACUCAACACGGGAAAACUUACCAGGUCCAGACAUAGGAAGGAUUGACGGAUUGAUAGCUCUUUCUUGAUUCUGUGGGUGGUGGUGCAUGGCCGUUUUUAGUCGGUGAAGUGAUUUGUCUGCUUAAUUGCGUUAACGGACGAGACCCCAGCCUGCUAAAUAGCGCGGCCGAGCUUUGCUCGGUUCGGGCUUCUUAGAGGGACCAUGAUGCGCGAUAGCACAAGGAAGUUUGGGGCAACAACAGGUCUGUGAUGCCCUUAGAUGUUCUGGGCCGCACACGGGCUACACUGGCGCCUGCAACGAGCAUAUCAGCUGGCCCGAGAGGGUCUUGGCUAAUCUUUGGAACCGGCGCCGUGCUUGGGAUUGACCAUUGCAAUUGUUGGUCAUGCAACGAGGAAUGCCUUGUAAACGCGAGUCAUCAGCUCGCAUUGAAUACGUCCCUGCCCUUUGUACACACCGCCCGUCGCUCCUACCGAUGAAUGUUCCGAUGAAAUUUUCGGAGAGCGCCGGAGAACGGGGCUCUGCCCUGCAGAACUGGAGGCUCAAAGUCACUUAAAUCUGAACAUUUCGAGGAAGGAGAAGUCGUAACAAGGUAACC